rnacentral:lncRNA from 1 species
AAAUUCUCCUCAAAAAUCCACGAGGGUGAUUCCACGCCGUGGAUCGACUGCUUUCGUGAUUACUAUGGACAGUCCACCUCGCGUGACCUUGGCGAUCUUUCGCGCCUUGACACGAUCAUCUGGAAGGACAUCAUCGCGGGCCUUGCACACUUCCACAGUGUUUCGAAAUCCAUAAUUGGAGAUGGUCGGUCCACUUCCUUCUGGUUUGAUAAUUGGAUUGGAGGCGGCGCCCUCUUUCAACUGUUCCCUGCCUUGUUCUCACAUGCAACUCGCCCCAACAUCUCUGUCGUGGACGCCCUAGCUGCUCCUGAAUUGCUACUUCAUCUUAGGCCCCAGUUGUCGACGGUGGCCACACACGAAUUGGCCACUGUCCAAGCCCUGGUAUGCCACCUAGUGUUAGACCCUGAGACGAAAGACAGACGCACCUCGUCCACAGAUCGCCCCCUCAUAGCAAAAACAACCUACGACUUAAGCUCGUCAGGGACAACCACGGUCAAGUUAAAUGCAAGAUCUUCCUUUGGACUACACACAAGAGGCGCAUCUUCACCAAUGAGAGACGAGCUCGACGUGGAUUAG